rnacentral:rRNA from 1 species
AUGAACGCUGGCGGCGUGCCUAAUACAUGCCAGUCGAGCGAACAGACGAGGAGCUUGCUCCUCUGACGUUAGCGGCGGACGGGUGAGUAACACGUGGAUAACCUACCUAUAAGACUGGGAUAACUUCGGGAAACCGGAGCUAAUACCGGAUAAUAUAUUGAACCGCAUGGUUCAAUAGUGAAAGACGGUUUUGCUGUCACUUAUAGAUGGAUCCGCGCCGCAUUAGCUAGUUGGUAAGGUAACGGCUUACCAAGGCAACGAUGCGUAGCCGACCUGAGAGGGUGAUCGGCCACACUGGAACUGAGACACGGUCCAGACUCCUACGGGAGGCAGCAGUAGGGAAUCUUCCGCAAUGGGCGAAAGCCUGACGGAGCAACGCCGCGUGAGUGAUGAAGGUCUUCGGAUCGUAAAACUCUGUUAUUAGGGAAGAACAAAUGUUUAAGUAACUAUGCACGUCUUGACGGUACCUAAUCAGAAAGCCACGGCUAACUACGUG